UCUGCCUGGUAGUGGGGGAUAACGUUCGGAAACGGACGCUAAUACCGCAUACGUCCUACGGGAGAAAGCAGGGGACCUUCGGGCCUUGCGCUAUCUAUGAGCCUAGGUCGGAUUAGCUAGUUGGUGGGGUAAUGGCUCACCAAGGCGACGAUCCGUAACUGGUCUGAGAGGAUGAUCAGACACACUGGAACUGAGACACGGUCCAGACUCCUACCGGAGGCAGCAGUGGGGAAUAUUGGACAAUGGGCGAAAGCCUGAUCCAGCCAUGCCGCGUGUGUGAAGAAGGUCUUCGGAUUGUAAAGCACUUUAAGUUGGGAGGAAGGGUUGUAGAUUAAUACUCUGCUAUUUUGACGUUACCGACAGAAUAAGCACCGGCUAACUCUGUGCCACCAGCCGCGGUAAUACAUAGGGUGCAAGCGUUAAUCGGAAUUACUGGGCGUAAAGCGCGCGUAGGUGGUUUGUUAAGUUGGAUGUGAAAUCCCCGGGCUCAACCUGGGAACUGCAUUCAAAACUGACUGACUAAAGUAUGGUAAAGGGUGGUGGAAUUUU
rnacentral:rRNA from 1 species